rnacentral:rRNA from 2 species
ACCCUACGGGGGGCAGCAGUGGGGAAUAUUGGACAAUGGGCGAAAGCCUGAUCCAGCCAUGCCGCGUGAGUGAUGAAGGCCUUAGGGUUGUAAAGCUCUUUUGUCCGGGAAGAUAAUGACGGUACCGGAAGAAUAAGCCCCGGCUAACUUCGUGCCAGCAGCCGCGGUAAUACGAAGGGGGCUAGCGUUGUUCGGAUUUACUGGGCGUAAAGCGCACGUAGGCGGAUCUUUAAGUCAGAGGUGAAAUCCCAAGGCUCAACCUUGGAACUGCCUUUGAUACUGGAGAUCUCGAGUUCGGGAGAGGUGAGUGGAACUGCGAGUGUAGAGGUGAAAUUCGUAGAUAUUCGCAAGAACACCAGUGGCGAAGGCGGCUCACUGGCCCGAUACUGACGCUGAGGUGCGAAAGCGUGGGGAGCAAACAGGAUUAGAUACCCCAGUAGUC